GAGUUUGAUCCUGGCUCAGAUUGAACGCUGACGGCAGGCCUAACACAUGCAAGUCGAGCGGUAACAUUUCUAGCUUGCUAGAAGAUGACGAGCGGCGGACGGGUGAGUACAACUUGGGAAUCUGCCUGAUGGAGGGGGACAACCACUGGAAACGGUGGCUAAUACCGCAUAAUCUUUUCGGAGCAAAGUGUGGGACCUUCGGGCCACACGCCAUCAGAUGAGCCCAAGCAAGAUUAGGUAGUUGGUGGGGUAAAGGCCUACCAAGCCGACGAUCUUUAGCUGGUCUGAGAGGACGAUCAGCCACACUGGGACUGAGACACGGCCCAGACUCCUACGGGAGGCAGCAGUGGGGAAUAUUGGACAAUGGGGGCAACCCUGAUCCAGCCAUGCCGCGUGUGUGAAGAAGGCCUUCGGGUUGUAAAGCACUUUCAGUGGUGAGGAAGGCGUUGUAGUUAAUAGCUGCAACGAUUGACGUUAGCCACAGAAGAAGCACCGGCUAACUCCGUGCCAGCAGCCGCGGUAAUACGGAGGGUGCGAGCGUUAAUCGGAAUUACUGGGCGUAAAGCGCACGUAGGCGGUUUGUUAAGCAAGAUGUGAAAGCCCCGGGCUCAACCUGGGAAUUGCAUUUUGAACUGGCAGGCUAGAGUUUUGAAGAGGGUGGUAGAAUUUCCUGUGUAGCGGUGAAAUGCGUAGAUAUAGGAAGGAAUACCAGUGGCGAAGGCGGCCACCUGGUCAAAACUGACGCUGAGGAGCGAAAGCGU
rnacentral:rRNA from 1 species